rnacentral:rRNA from 1 species
CCACGGGAGGCAGCAGUGGGGAAUAUUGGACAAUGGGCGAAAGCCUGAUCCAGCAAUGCCGCGUGAGUGAUGAAGGCCUUAGGGUUGUAAAGCUCUUUUACCAGGGAUGAUAAUGACAGUACCUGGAGAAUAAGCUCCGGCUAACUCCGUGCCAGCAGCCGCGGUAAUACGGAGGGAGCUAGCGUUGUUCGGAAUUACUGGGCGUAAAGCGUGCGUAGGCGGCGAUUCAAGUCAGAGGUGAAAGCCUGGAGCUCAACUCCAGAACUGCCUUUGAAACUAGAUUGCUAGAAUCUUGGAGAGGUCAGUGGAAUUCCGAGUGUAGAGGUGAAAUUCGUAGAUAUUCGGAAGAACACCAGUGGCGAAGGCGACUGACUGGACAAGUAUUGACGCUGAGGUACGAAAGCGUGGGGAGCAAACAGGAUUAGAUACCCUGGUAGUCCACGCUGUAAACGAUGAUAACUAGCUGUCCGGGCUCUCAGAGCUUGGGUGGCGCAGCUAACGCAUUAAGUUAUCCGCCUGGGGAGUACGGUCGCAAGAUUAAAACUCAAAUGAAUUGACGG